GCCCGGCUAGCUCAAUCGGUAGAGCGUGAGACUCUUAAUCUCAAGGUUGUGGGUUCGACCCGUAAGCAUAAACACUUUCCGAAGCACAUCGCCACAGCAUAUCUAACAUUCACUAGCCACGUCGGGCUCA